GUUCACAUAAUGGACAGACCACUGUAGGAAAUAUUUUAUGUGAUGUACAUAUGUAUGUAUGUAUGCAAAGACAUGUACAUACAGUAUGUAUCUUACACACCUUUCACUCGUUAAGUGUCACGUCUGUCAGAUACAGUCCGUUCCCAUUCUACAUCAUUGCCAAGACAGCCCGGUAUCGGUCGGCGGUAUCGAUAGCCUCUCCUUUCCCCCUACCCCCUGUGAACGGGGUACGUGAGCGGCUGCACGAACUCCAGGCGUGGAUUUAUCUGCAUUUGUGUGUGCGUGUAUAUUCACCUUCCGUCAUGAGCAUCGCAUCUUCUCAUCCGCCAUCUGCAGUUCAGAGAAGAUUCCACUCAAAACGGCACACUCAAGGCUCGCUCUCGCUCUCUAUCACUGCGCUCACGCUCUCUUUAACUCGCUCCUCUCACUCUCUGCAGCAGCAGCCGCCGCUCCUGUUCAUGAAGUAACUAUAUAGUUUCUUCAUGCUCCUGUUUUGCAACUUCCUUUUUGGUCAGCUUCCUUGUUGGGCGAGGAGCUGCGAGUGGGGGGUGGGAAAUAGUACAGCAGCAGAAAGUGGGGGAAGUUGGUUGCAGCUUCCUUUUAUGUACAUAAAUAUGUAUAUAUGUAUGGACAUAUGUACAUGCAUAUGCUUUUUGCCACCGUCAAAAAAUAUGAAAGCGCUUUAGAAAGAAUCGAGAUCAAAAGGAGACGAAUAUGGGGUGUACUUGAGCCAUAGGACCCCAUCCAUUUCCCCGUACAGCAUCCGCCAAGUGCUAAAUAUAGACGAUAUUCACAUUUGAGAGAGUUCCAACAUCUGUUCUGUACGUUGAUGAUCGUCAAUGUCCGUCCGCAGUACUCGUCACGUAGGCAGAAGGGGCACCGAUCUUGAUGCUCGUUUCUAAAAAUACUGCUCCCUUUCAGUGGCACAACGGCAAUUACAAGAUCUGCAGGGAUAUAUAAUACAUACUAUCUACAUACAGAAAUAAUCUAAACGGAUUUAUUCUUAAAGAUUAUUAUUUAGUAAAGUACGUAUUGCUGUUAAAUUUAGAGAAUUCGUGAACACAUAUGUAUGUCCAGCCGCCAUCACCUCCAUCGGUGGUUUUGCGGUUGUAAGACGACUGGACGUUCGUCUAGAGCAGGUUAUUUAACCGAUGUUCAUUACACUCGAAUGUGAUGAUUUUCUACUAACUGUAAAAAAUGUCUUACCUUUGCCAAAACAGUGUUGGUAAACAGUAACGUGCCUACCCAGAACAAGAAACUAUUGACGUUGAUAAAGUCGACGAUCUUCUGGACAACUGCCUUGAGAUGCUGUUUAAGAUUUUUAUGUUCUGAAGAAUGUUGCAGAAACCAUUGAAAACAGCAGGAACCUAGCAGAAGGUAUGUGGUACUGGGCAUAAACUGGGACUUUGGCUUAAUGUAUGCUGGAUGGGUGUCUCUUUCAGCUUCUGCAGCUCAGCAUUCUGGAAUUAAAGUCGUAUUACUCAGUGGGUUAGACUGAAUAAAAAUCCGCUUAAAAUCACCCUUCAUUCUUCCAUGUUUGAAAAUUUGUUUUGUAUAAUAUUAAAAGACAGGAAAGUAGGCGAUUCUCAAUAUUUUUGUCCUACUUUACACGGAGAUGCCUUAUAGAGCUCAGUUCCGUCUGUGCUAGUCAAUCGGUAAGAUCAAAAUUGUAGACAUUUUUAUAAAUAUUAUUUGUAUUCAAUUUUAUUUUCUUGACAGUUGCCAAAAAUGGGUAUCAUCAGCCGAAUUGUCGAUUAUUUUAGUCCCCAGCCAGAACCGGAGCUCACCUAUUACGAAUUAAUUCUGGGAAUGGUAAAACAGCCCAGGGAAUAUCUAUCAGCAGCAUAUCCGUAUGGCUCCAUGGCAAUGCUGUGCGCUUGCACAGGUCCAACGUAUAUUGUACGCUAAGGAUGUAAUAAAAAUGCCAAGACGACUCUUCGCUGGGAAUGGUGGUCCCCAACUGGUGCAGUACGAGGAGGAGCACGGGGAGGAGGAGCACGGUGAGGAGGAGCACGGGGAGGAGGAGCACGGGGAGGAGAACGGCCAGGAGGACGAAGAGGAGUUCGAGGAUUAGCAGGAGGAGUUCGAAGAGUCUGACGAGGAGUUCGUGGAUUAAGGAGGAGGCAGGCACCUCUGAAGAUGAAGCAGAUGAUAUUCAUGAACUGGAGGAUGCGUUCAACGAAUUCGCUCCAAUCCUUUAAAUAGUUAUACUUUUAAGUUGCAUUUUGUUUGAGUUUAACAGACGUCCAAUUUUGGCAUUUAUAUAUGACUUUGUUCCUUUUCAACCGCUUAUUUCUAGAUGAUCCUUGGUAACAUUUUUAAGUGGUCGAUGCUCCUUCAGAUUUUUUUAAAAACUAUCUUGAGAAUGCCCCGCACGUACUCGAAUUGCCCCCUGCCUUCACUCUGUCAAUCCAUGGGUAUUUAUGGAGUGAAAACGAGCGGUUUUCUGAUCAUUAAUCGAUCCUUAACGAUCACGUUCAGAGAAAGAUGUAUGGGGUGGAAACACGGAUGCACAAGAGGCCAUUGCAUAGCUAUGACUUCACUUGAGAUGGUCGCAGCAGACGCUGGCUUUGUGCAUUCGCCAUAAAAAUGUGAAAUGUACUGACCAGUCUCCUGGUCACUUUGCUCCAAUCCCCCAGGGUCCCGGUAGCAACCUGGCUUUUAAAAGGCGUGGGCUGUCGAGAAUUCUUUGCUGUGGCGAAUGGUUGUGGGGCCUUUUGAGUCUGAUCGGUUGGCAAUGGCAGUGGCGAUCGCUGUCGAAGCAGUUAAUAGGGAACCGCGGAUAUACAUAUAGUAAGUUGAAUGCCCUCGUUUGGGGGGCUCCACAAAAACAAGUAAAAAAGAAUACCGAAAUUCCAAUAAAGAACAAGUAUGGCAUGGCACAUGCUAUGGCUCACAUUCCGACUAAAAGAUACCACGCUACCAUAAUGUGUCUCGAAUGUCAGGCCGCAUUGGCACUCGGUCCAUUGCUUACAGUUUAUGGGUUCUGCCUGGGCUUAAAGAAUGUCACGUUGGUGACUUAAUUCUGGAUGAUUAUAUAUAUAUAAAUAUAAUUUUUUUUCUCUCUCUUUAUAUUUACAAUCUGUUUUUUUAAACAAUAAGUAAAUUGUAUAAUUAAUAUUCAAUUAACAGAAAUAGCAGUUUUCCAAUGAGCCCUGCUAUUAUAUAUAACAUCUUUUCAGUUUGUUGGAUUUAUCUAUCAGGGAUAUCGAGAAUGUGGUAUCUUUUCAGUCUUCUUACUGUUAGGCUAUUGUCUAAUAGACUUAAGGCUAAAUUAUUUUCGUGGCUGUGGAGUCUGUCGAUGUAUUUCUUACUAGUUUUCUUUAUUUCUUCUUUAAUUGUUGGAAUAUUCAGAUCUUUGUGGAUUAGAUACGUUUGCAUUAGAUACG
rnacentral:lncRNA from 1 species